rnacentral:lncRNA from 8 species
AGAUUGGAAAUGAUGCAGACAAUUACAAUGAUGGAAGCCACAAUCUAUCUGCAAUACUGAAGCUGAUCUAACCCCCCCACCCACCCACCCAUACUCACAGGGAAACUGUUUUGUUGGGUAAGAAACUGGGUUGUAGAGUGUCCAGUAAUUCCACACCAUCACACACCACUUUCACCCGGAACGUUUGUCUGCCCAACUUCUUGGACCUCUCGGAGGAGCAAUGACAGCUGUCAAUGGAGAGGUUCCGGCAGUUUCCGGUCGUCAGGCAUGUCCUCCACAACCCGACAACAACGCAAAGUUGCCACAUAUAUUCCCAUCCACGUGUGCCGCGCAAGGGGCUUCUCCAUCCACGUCUGCUCCUUCAACCAUGGGACUUGUUGCAAUUAUUCAGCGCAUGGAAGUUGAGAAGUCCCUCCUCCUACAAGGCAAGGGGCGUGAGUUGGUAUUGUUAUUACAUUGAUGAACCAUACAGUGAGGGAAAAAAGUAUUUGAUCCCAUGCUGAUUUUGUACUUUUGCCCACUGACAAAGAAAUUAUCAGUCUAUAAUUUUAAUGGUAGGUUUAUUUGAACAGUGAGAGACAGAAAUAACAACAAAAAAAUCCAGAAAAACACAUGUCAAAAAUGUUAUAAAUUCAUUUGCAUUUUAAUGAGGGAAAUAAGUAUUUGACCCCUCUGCAAAACAUGACUUACUACUUGGUGGAAAACCCCUUGUUGGCAAUCACAGAGGUCAGACGUUUCUUGUAGUUGGCCACCAGGUUUGCACACAUCUCAGGAGGGAUUUUGUCCCACUCCUCUUUGCAGAGCUUCUCCAAGUCAUUAAGGUUUCGAGGCUGACGUUUGGCAACUCGAACCUUCAGCUCCCUCCACAGAUUUUCUAUGGGAUUAAGGUCUGGAGACUGGCUAGGCCACUCCAGGACCUUAAUGUGCUUCUUCUUGAGCCACUCCUUUGUUGCCUUGGCCAUGUGUUUUGGGUCAUUGUCAUGCUGGAAUACCCAUCCACAACCCAUUUUUGAUGCCCUGGCUGAGGGAAGGAGGUUCUCACCCAAGAUUUGACGGUACAUGGCCCUGUCCAUCGUCCCUUUGAUGCGGUGAAGUUGUCCUGUCCCCUUAGCAGAAAAACACCCCCAAAGCAUAAUGUUUCCACCUCCAUGUUUGACGGUGGAGAUGGUGUUCUUGGGGUCAUAGGCAGCAUUCCUCCUCCUCC